GACGAACGCUGGCGGCGUGCUUAACACAUGCAAGUCGAACGGACAGGCCCUGCUUUUGUUGUUUGCUCGAUUGGCGAACGGGUGAGUAACACGUGAGUAACCUGCCCUUGUCUUUGGGAUAACUUCUGGAAACUCGGGCUCUUACCGGGUAUGAUCUCCUGCUGCAUGUUGUGGGUUGGAAAGUUUCGGCGGUUGUGGAUGGAAUCGCUGCUUAUCCGCUUGUUGGUGUGGUAGUGGCUUACCAAGGGUUUGACGGGUAGCCUGCCUGAGAGGGUGACCGGCGACAUGGGGACUGAGAUACGGACCAGAAUGCUACGGGAGGCAGUAGGGGGGAAUAUUGCAGAAUGGGCGGAAGCCUGAUGCAGAAACGCGGCGUGCGGGAUGACGGGCUUCGGGUGGUAAACCGAUUUGGCAGGAGAUGAAGAGUGAGUGACGGUAAUGGGUAAAGAAGCAACGGCUAACUACGUG
rnacentral:rRNA from 1 species